rnacentral:rRNA from 1 species
UACGUAGGGGGCAAGCGUUGUCCGGAUUUAUUGGGCGUAAAGAGCGUGUAGGCGGCCGUACAGGUCAGCUGUGAAAACUCGAGGCUCAACCUCGAGACGUCGGUUGAAACCGUACGGCUAGAGUCCGGAAGAGGAGAGUGGAAUUCCCGGUGUAGCGUGAAAUGCGCAGAUAUCGGGAAGAACACCCGUGGCGAAGGCGGCUCUCUGGGACGGUACUGACGCUGAGACGCGAAAGCGUGGGGGAGCGAACAGG